rnacentral:lncRNA from 1 species
GCAAUAUGUAUAUUUCAAAAUCAAUAAAUUGCAGGCUAUUUUAGUUUUCACUUAUAUAUUCUGUGCUUGUUUCUUCUACCAUUUCAUUAUUUCUUUUCACUCAGAGAAUAAGAAAAAAACCAAGUGGUAUAUUGAGAAUUAUUGCUCAUAGAAUAAGAAGAGGCAGUAGAAGACAAAAAGAUGAAGAUUCAAGUGUUACACAAAUAAAUAGGAGUCCUUUGUCUUCAGGAAUAAUAAAGCACACUGAGAAAAGAGACACUUAAAUGAAAAAGUUUUAUAGCUCUGUACAACAUACAGAGGAUUGCUGAGCCAUUUGGUGACCACUCAGGACCAGGGAGUACAAUGUUAAAGAAGAUGGCCAUAGAACUUAAAAAUUGCACCCUGAGUAUUCACAACUAGAAUGCAAAAUGUGUCCUGUCACAAGUUGAGUAUUAGCUAUAGUCUGAUCAGCCACCAAAGAAGAAAUCUCCAGUUCUCACUUUCUUGUGACAGAGGCAAUUUGGGAUAUGUUCAGAGGCUAACAACCAACCAUAUAAGGAAGAAAAGAAUUAGAACACUAUUUCCCAAAAGAGAGGAACGUCUACAUAAUAUUGCCUAAAUUGUUUUUGAAACAUUCAGAUCCCAGGGCUUCCCUCCAUGGUAAUUGAAUCAGAAUUGGAGAUGGAAUAUUUAUAUUAAAGAAGUAUCUUCACAGGCCUAAAGAAGAAUGAUCAAACAAACCGAAAGUGAUUUUUCACCAUUUAUAUCCCUCAGGUAGUGUUGUAGGUGCCACAACAAAGGGCAAUCCCAGCCAUUCGAUGUCUUGAGAAAUCUCCUGAGCUACAAACACUAAUCUGAGUGCUUGGGUAUGUGGACCUGAGGAUCCCUCUUAGCAACACAUGCUGGGAUUACACUUUUCUCUCUAGAUGCAACUGUGAUAGGGGGUUUCUUUUAGUGAUUCAUCAAUGUGCUCAAGCAAAUUAAUUAAACAGCUAGAAUUGAAAGAAACUGAAUGGUAAAGAGAUUACAUGGGAGAAUAACACGUAGGCAGGUUCUAAAAACUUAAAAUCCGAUAUGGAGGAAAAGAAAACCACAGAUAACAAUGAUGUAAGCUAAAAUGAAAUAGGUUCCAAAAGAAAAGGCAAAGCCAACAUGCAGUAAGAGAGAAAGAAAAGUUAAAAUUCAUUGUGAUUAAGAGAUAUUGAGAACAGCUUUUAUAAUAAAACAUGAUAUUAAAUUUAUACCCUGACUUAG